CCUACGGGAGGCAGCAGUGGGGAAUAUUGCACAAUGGGCGCAAGCCUGAUGCAGCAACGCCGCGUGAGGGACGACGGCCUUCGGGUUGUAAACCUCUUUUAGUAGGGAAGAAGCGAAAGUGACGGUACCUGCAGAAAAAGCACCGGCUAACUACGUGCCAGCAGCCGCGGUAAUACGUAGGGUGCAAGCGUUAUCCGGAAUUAUUGGGCGUAAAGAGCUCGUAGGCGGUUUGUCGCGUCUGCUGUGAAAACUGGAGGCUCAACCUCCAGCCUGCAGUGGGUACGGGCAGACUAGAGUGCGGUAGGGGAGAUUGGAAUUCCUGGUGUAGCGGUGGAAUGCGCAGAUAUCAGGAGGAACACCGAUGGCGAAGGCAGGUCUCUGGGCCGUAACUGACGCUGAGGAGCGAAAGCAUGGGGAGCGAACAGGAUUAGAUACCCUGGUAGUCCAUGCCGUAAACGUUGGGAACUAGAUGUAGGGACCAUUCCACGGUUUCUGUGUCGCNGCUACGCAUAACGUUACCCGUCCGUCGGGAGGUACGGCCGCGACGACGUAAACGUUAAACGUUAAGUAAGUUAGUUACGGCGUGUUAGACGUGCCGACGGACGACGACGAGGGAGGAGG
rnacentral:rRNA from 1 species